rnacentral:rRNA from 1 species
GAUGAACGCUGGCGGCGUGCCUAACACAUGCAAGUGGAGCGACGAACCCGGCUUCGGCCGGGGGCAAAGCCGCGAACGGGUGAGUAACACGUGGGUUACCUGCCCCGAUGACCGGGACAACCCGAGGAAACUCGGGCUAAUACCGGAUGUGCUCUUCGGAGGAAAGGAAGCUUCGGCCUCCGCAUCGGGAUGGGCCCGCGGCGCAUUAGCUAGUUGGUGGGGUAACGGCCUACCAAGGCGACGAUGCGUAGCUGGUCUGAGAGGACGAUCAGCCACACUGGAACUGAGACACGGUCCAGACUCCUACGGGAGGCAGCAGUGGGGAAUCUUGCGCAAUGCACGAAAGUGUGACGCAGCAACGCCGCGUGCGGGAAGAAGGUCUUCGGAUCGUAAACCGCUUUCAGUUGGGACGAGGGUCAGCUGGUGAAUAGCCAGUCUGACUGACGGUACCUUCAGAAGAAGCCCCGGCUAACUACGUGCCAGCCGCCGCGGUAAAAC